UAAAUGAUAAUUCCAAGUGCCCCUAGCGCACUAGGCAGGGAUGGCAUAGAGAUGGCGUGAGAAGGGACUCCCAGGAAAGAUGACAACUUGAAGGCAUUGACUCUGAAUUUGGGUGGAACAGGACUCUCAGACUUCAGUCAGCCCCACGUUCCCCAGGACUUUUCAAGAGAUGUCCUCAUUUCAGCUGGAUUUCAACCCAGUAGAAGGCUGGAGAAGUGGAGGCCACCCUGGAUCCUAAGAAAAGCUGGCACAGAAAAAGCCUUAUCUCAAGAAAUGGCACCUUGUUGGGAGUGGACUUUCCUCUCACCAUCCAAUUCCAGGAGUGGUGCAGCAGGCGUAUUGCAACACCGACGAGGAUUCGGAUUCGUUGACAGUGUCUCCGCAAACGGGUGAUGAUGCUUGGUGUGUGGAAAGAAUCUCAGCCCUCUAAAAGUCGCGAUUUGUGAGACAGCGUAUGAAACACUCCAGUGGCCUUCCGUCCAUGAGGGAGGGACCAGCCCUGACGGGCCCAUUGUUGUCACUAGCAGAGGGCUCAUGGCUCUCUGGUGUUCCUUGUGCACGGACUGGGAGGCCUGGAUCUUUAACCUCACUCUUUCAGCCUGUGGCCCCCAGGGGAGCUGAACCAAAGCAUGGGCCCCAGAAGGCCAUGGUUAAACGUGUCACGUGCAGGAAGCAGAUAACAUCGUUGCUGUUUAGAGGAAAAUGCAGCAGAGACCUUGAAGCAGAGACAGGCUGGAGGGAGCCGAUGCCAAGAGUCCCCAGGGCAGCCUCUGAUGGGAUUGGAGAGCUCUGUUUCGACACCAAGGAAGAGUUCUGGGGACAUGACAUGAUGAUGCUGGGGCCCAUCUAUCUCAUCCAAUCCAUCAUUUGGCACUGAAGACACCAAAUUAUUUGGAGGGGAGUGACCUGCCCAAAGUCAUGCAACAUCGUGGCCGCAUGGGAUAGAUGACGGUGCCUGCCUCUCCUGUACGACUGCCCUCCUGCCCAUAAGACCAUCAUCCCUGUAGAACAUCCGGGUAGUUGCAGGGAAGCUAGCUUCUCCCCAGUGCCCACGAUGGUGUAUGGGACCUCGGCCCAGCUGAUCAGCACAUUCCAUGCUCCUGGCUACCUUGCUUGGUUAGGGGUGACCUGUGACCUAAUACUAGUUCAAUCAGAGAGGAUCUCUGCACCUUUGAGGAGAAUGCUGGGAAACAGUGACCCUCCUUCCUCUGGGCUACAGAUGAACAAAGGAUACAAGUAGUCUCAGCAACUGAUGUUGUGACAUGAAGAGAGAGCCUCAGGAUGAAACAGACCCCAUGAAAGGCAGAGAGCAGAGAUGGGAAAGAAAAGGAAUUCUAGGUCAUCAUUCUGAGUUGCUGGAUCAAACCUCACCUGAUGCCUGAUGUCUUUACUCUAAAAUAAUCAGUUACAUGAUCCAGUCCACUCUAUUUUUAAGACAGUUGGAACAGAGAUUUUUAUUAAUGAUAACCAAAAUACUCCCAAAUGAUAAAUAGAUGGCAGAAGGCCAAAGAGCUUGCCUCUUCUUCUAUCUCGCUCCUGGUUAGGUGGGCUGAACCCAAAGGUCUGCCUCUGUGCCUUUCCACAGGCCUGGGCAGGCUGCAGAUAUUCCGAAGGCUGAGUCUAGUCUGCAGUUUGAGACUCCCCGCUAGCUGGUCGUUUACACUCUCGGUUCAGGGAAGUGGGUUGGUUUGUUAUAUGGGUCCAGAAAGCAUUUUCUAGGAGGUCACUCCCACCCCACCCUCAGGAACCAAUAGCACUCUGUGCAUCUCUCUCAAAUCACACUGACCUCACUGCUUUUUAAUGACCAACACCUACAUCGGGAUCCCCUUUGGACUCCAAGCUUGCUGAAGGGGAGACUAAGCCUUGCCUUUGGAUCCCUGCACCUGGCCCCGUGUGUGACACAAGUCUGAUGUUCACGGAUUCUUGACCAGUGGAUGAAACCAUGUUUUUCCCCUCUCUGCCUCCCUCUCUGAUGGAUCCUGUUUAUUCCUGUACUUUCUUCUCUUUAAAAAUUAGGAUGAGGUUUCAAAGCACCGCAGACAAGAUGCAAAGCAUUCGCCCCUGCGUCCCCAAUUUACAAACCGGGGAUUUGCUCUGCUACUGUCUUCUCAUAGUGCUAAGGCCUGUCCGGGACACCCACUCCCUCUCUCUGCUCACCAUGGGUUCAGGGCUGCCGUGUAUAAAGCCCUGGGCGAGAGGACAAGGGAGGGAAAGAGUGGAAAGACUGAGUCAGAGAAGGCUGGGGAUGAAACUUGAGUCCGUUGGGCUCAUCAGUCUAAAAUCUCAUUGACAGACAGGGAAGCUCGGGCCCUGGGAGGAGUCCUCCUCGCUCAAGGUCACUGGGACCGUCCAGCCGGGAUGGGAAGGAACUCCACUUUACAAGGCAAGACCCGUGCCCCCCAGAAGCUGAACCCCGCACAGACAGGAAGGUAGGCUUCUGGACGGAUGGGAAGAAAGACUGGCGGAAGGCUCAGCGGCCAGACCUGGAAGCUUGCAGCCUUUCAAGGUUGAGACACUGCUCCAGUGGGUGCUCCCUUCCCAACCAAAGCCCUCGCUCGCCAACUGGGUUUGGAGUCUCUUGGCUUGUUUGUCCUUAGGGACCAGAGAAGUGACUCAGGGAAGCACUUAGUACAUCGCUGGCUCUGGAGGGUGGGGUGUGACUCAGGAGCCACUCACAGAAACUCAUUCAUAGCCUCCUCCCUGCCCCUUCAAGCCAGGGAUCCAGGGAUCCGCCGCGUGAGACCCUCCCGCGGCUCUGACACUCCUGAUGCGUUUCUCACGUCUCCACCUGCCCAGCCGUCUGUGUGCCCGUGGAAGACACCUGGACUGCAAACUCCUGGGCGGGGAGCCCGCUCCGCUCAGCGGCCUCGUGCUUGCUUCCCUCGUGGGAGGCAGGGUCUCAGGACCCCCAGAUCUCCCUGACCUCCCCUGGAUUCUGAGCGGGCGCACCGUCACCCAAAGCUUCCCCUGCUCUUCUGCCCUCCCCUCUCUCCCUGUGUCGUGGAAACUGUCCCCUUCUCCCCCACCCCGCCGCGACUCUUGCCGUGGAGGGUGUCUGACCUCUCUGCUCGCCCCCACCCCCUUCCUUUCCCUCCUCCUCUUUCCUCCCUCGCUCCGCCCCCAGGCCCCGCCCCUCGCCACCCCGGCCCG